rnacentral:lncRNA from 1 species
AUCUUCAGUCCGUUGUCAAAGGCAGGGGUCGUCGGGUGUCGGACCCUGAGGAAACAGUAUCCCGUGCUUCCCCUCGAGCACUUCCUGUGCGUGUCACUCAAGAGCCGGGCUCGUGUCUCUGAUCAAAGGCCACGAACAGGAGCAGACGACAGGGUGAUGCUGAAGGAUGUCCUGAACGGCUGGGUCAGGGCCAGAUGUCCAGCACAGUCUCACUUCAUCACAUUAAUCCAGCCUCGGAUCCAGACAUGUUUCACAUCCGUCCAACACAAACACCAUCCUUGGAAAUGACAUGACAAGUGUAGACUAAUGCAAUUGAAGUAUCCAAAUGAAUACCCUAGCAGUAUGGAGUAUAUGGUGAGUUUUUUUUUUCUUUUCAAGGUUAAUAAAUGCUUUGUUAAAGUUAAUACGCAAUCAUUUUUGAGUUCUCCAUCCUUUUAAAUACUUCUAGGAAACAGACGUUGCCAGCAAUCAGGAGGUGAUGCAGAAGACUCGUGGGAAUUGAAGCUGGAGUCACUGAAGACAGUCCAGCAGAAGUUGGAGUUUUAAAGGAUAAAGUUCUUCAGGACCUAGCAGUUUACAGUCUUCUCUUCAUGAGGUUGCAAUGCCUCCAUUAGUACAUCAACUGAGAGGGAGUAUAUUUCUUUCUUCCUCCCGCUGUGCAUGCAGUAACAUUACUCAUCCAUGUGACAUGCAUGUGUUGUGUCUGCUCAUCUGAACAGAUUGCCUGGGAAACACAUCAGUGUCUGUGCCGGCUGCUCUGUUCAGAGAUAACAGUGUGUCAUGAGAACAAUUGGGCUCCAGAUAGGACUGUGCAACUCGAUCCGUCUUUAAACGAAGCGAGACAAAGUCUCAGCAUUCGGUUUCCAUCACAUCAGCAUUCAAAUGCUUUUGCAACCCAGGAAGGUAUAAUGAAAGCAAGACUUAAUAUCUUAAGCCAUUCUCUAGAGGUGGUGUUUGUGCAAGAAAAGCAAAACGUAAGUGGAAAAGACUUUUUUUUUUGCAGUGUAUCAACUGUCCUUUUUUAA